GAGCCCAAGAUUGAAAGCUGGCGUCUUCGGCGUCCGCAUUGUAAUCUCAAGAAGUGUUUUCCGCUUCGGACCAAGCCUAAGUCCCCUGGAAAGGGGCAUCAUAGAGGGUGAUAAUCCCGUACAUGGCUUGGAGCGCCCGAGGCUUUGUGAAACGCUUUCUAAGAGUCGAGUUGUUUGGGAAUGCAGCUCAAAAUGGGUGGUAAAUGCCAUCUAAGGCUAAAUAUUGGGGAGAGACCGAUAGCGAACAAGCACAGUGAUGGAAAGAUGAAAAGAACUUUGAAAAGAGAGUUAAACAGUACGUGAAAUUGCCAAAAGGGAAGGGUAGGAGGUCAGAGAUGCGGCCUGGGAUUCAGCCUUGCUUUUGCUUGGUGUUUUUCCCAGAUUGCAGGCCAACGUCGGUUUUGGGCACUGGAGAAGGGUAGGAGGAACGUGGCACCCCUCGGGGUGUGUUAUAGCCUCCUACUGGAUACAGCGACCGAGACCGAGGACAGCAGCGUACUCGCAAGAGCGGGCCUUCGGGCACCUUUACGCUUAGGGCGUUGGCAUAAUGGCCCUCUACCACCCGUCUUGA
rnacentral:rRNA from 1 species